UAGGGAAUCUUCCACAAUGGACGCAAGUCUGAUGGAGCAACGCCGCGUNAGUGAAGAAGGCUUUCGGGUCGUAAAACUCUGUUAUUGAAGAAGAACGUGUGUGACAGUAACUGGUCAUGCAGUGACGGUAUUCAAUCAGAAAGUCACGGCUAACUACGUGCCAGCAGCCGCGGUAAUACGUAGGUGGCAAGCGUUGUCCGGAUUUAUUGGGCGUAAAGCGAGUGCAGGCGGUCUUUUAAGUCUGAUGUGAAAGCCUUCGGCUUAACCGAAGAAGGGCAUCGGAAACUGGGAGACUUGAGUGCAGAAGAGGAGAGUGGAACUCCAUGUGUAGCGGUGAAAUGCGUAGAUAUAUGGAAGAACACCAGUGGCGAAGGCGGCUCUCUGGUCUGUAACUGACGCUGAGGCUCGAAAGCGUGGGUAGCAAACAGGAUUAGAUACCCUGGUAGUCCACGCC
rnacentral:rRNA from 1 species